GUGCUUGCUUCAGCAGCAGGCAGCACAUAUACUAAAAUUGGAACCAUACAGAGAUUAGCAUGGCUCCUGCACAAGGGUGACACUCAAAUUCGUGAAGUGUUCCAUAUUUUA
ensembl:snRNA U6 U6 spliceosomal RNA